UACGGGGGGGGCAAGCGUUGUUCGGAAUUACUGGGCGUAAAGGGCUCGUAGGUGGCCAACUAAGUCAUACGUGAAAUCCCUCGGCUUAACCGGGGAACUGCGCCUGAUACUGGUUGGCUUGAGUUUGGGAGAGGGACGCGGAAUUCCAGGUGUAGCGGUGAAAUGCGCAGAUAUCAGGAGGAACACCGGUGGCGAAGGCGGCUAUCUGGCCCGUAAUUGACGCUGAGGCGCGAAAGCGUGGGGAGCAAACAGG
rnacentral:rRNA from 1 species